GGGGUGCACACAGCGCAUGCAUGCAGCUGCUUUGCAUGUGGGUGUGUGCACAUCGUGCAUGCAUGCAGCUCUUCUGUAUGUGGGUUUGCAUAUAAUGCAUGCAUGCAGCUCCUUUGCUUGGGGUGUGUGCAUAUAGUGCAUGCAUGCAGCUGCUUUGCGUGUGUGUGUGCACGUAGUGCAUGCAUGCGGAUGAUUUGCAAGUGUUUGUGCACACAGUGCAUGCAUGCAGCUGCUUUGCAUGUGGGUGUGCACCUCGUGCAUGCAUGCAGCUGCUUUGCAUAUGAGUGUGUGCACAUAGUGCAUGCAUGCAGCUCUUUUGCAUGUGGGUGUGCACAUAGUGCAUGCAUGGAGCUGCUUUGCAUGUGAGUGUGUGGCCAUGUUGCAUGCAUGCAGCUGCGUUGCAUGUGUGUGUGCACAUAGUGCAU
rnacentral:lncRNA from 1 species